UACCCCCGCUUAGAACUAAGCAUAUCAAUAAGCGGAKGAAGWWGWAGACUAACAAGGAUUCCCCUAGUAACUGCGAGUGAAGCGGGAAAAGCUCAAAUUUAAAAUCUGGCGGUCUCUGKCCGUCCGAGUUGUAGUCUGGAGAAGCGUUUUCCGCGUUGGACCGUGUACAAGUUUCCUGGAACGGAGCGUCAUAGAGGGUGAGAAUCCCGUCUYUGACACGGAUCCCAAUGCUUUGUGAUGCGCUCUCAAAGAGUCGAGUUGUUUGGGAAUGCAGCUCAAAAUGGGUGGUGAAUUCCAUCUAAAGCUAAAUAUUGGCGAGAGACCGAUAGCGAACAAGUACCGUGAGGGAAAGAUGAAAAGCACUUUGGAAAGAGAGUUAAACAGUACGUGAAAUUGUUGAAAGGGAAACGCUUGAAGUCAGUCGCGUUGGCCGGGACUCAGCCUUGCAUCAGCUUGGUGUACUUUCCGGUCGACGGGCCAGCAUCAGUUUUGACCGCGGGAUAAAGGUGAAGGGAAUGUGGCUCUUUCGGGAGUGUUAUAGCCCUUUGUCGGAUGCCGUGGUUGGGACUGAGGAACUCAGCACGCCUUUAUGGCCGGGGUUCGCCCACGUACGUGCUUAGGAUGCUGGCGUAAUGGCUUUAAACGACCCGUCUUGAAACACGGACCAAGGAGUCUAACAUGCCUGCGAGUGUUCGGGUGGAAAACCCGUGCGCGUAAUGAAAGUAAAAGUUGGGAUCCCUGUCGUGGGGGUGCACCGACGCCCGGACCAGACCUUUUGUGACGGAYCUGCGGUAGAGCAUGUAUGUUGGGACCCGAAAGAUGGUGAACUAUGCCUGAAUAGGGUGAAGCCAGAGGAAACUCUGGUGGAGGCUCGUAGCGAUUCUGACGUGCAAAUCGAUCGUCAAAUUUGGGUAUAGGGGCGAAAGACUAAUCGAAASCAUCUAGKMRCUGGUUUCCUGCCGAAGUUUCCCCUUCAGGAA
rnacentral:rRNA from 1 species